UGGGGAAUUUUGGACAAUGGGCGCAAGCCUGAUCCAGCCAUGCCGCGUGAGUGAAGAAGGCCUGGUUGUAAGCUCUUUCGGCCGGGAAGAAAUCGUGGUCUCUAACAUAGGCCAUGGAUGACGGUACCGGACUAAGAAGCACCGGCUAACUACGUGCC
rnacentral:rRNA from 1 species